GAUGAACGCUAGCUACAGGCUUAACACAUGCAAGUCGCGGGGCAGCAUGGGGGUUGCUUGCAAUCCCCGAUGGCGACCGGCGCACGGGUGAGUAACGCGUAUCCAACCUGCCCUUCACCACGGGAUAACCCGGCGAAAGUCGGACUAAUACCGUAUGUUGUCCAUUGACGGCAUCCGAUUUGGACGAAAGGUUUGGCGGUGAAGGAUGGGGGUGCGUCCGAUUAGCUGGACGGCGGGGUGACGGCCCACCGUGGCGACGAUCGGUAGGGGUUCUGAGAGGAAGGUCCCCCACACUGGAACUGAGACACGGUCCAGACUCCUACGGGAGGCAGCAGUGAGGAAUAUUGGUCAAUGGGCGUAAGCCUGAACCAGCCAAGUAGCGUGCAGGAUGACGGCCCUAUGGGUUGUAAACUGCUUUUAUGCGGGGAUAAAGUGGCCCACGUGUGGGUUUUUGCAGGUACCGCAUGAAUAAGGACCGGCUAAUUCCGUG
rnacentral:rRNA from 1 species